rnacentral:rRNA from 1 species
UACAGAGGCCCCAAGCGUUACUGAGAAUCACUGGGUUUAAAGGGUGCGUAGGUGGCGCGUUAAGUUCGUUGUGAAAUCCCUGGGCUCAACCCAGGAAUUGCUUCGAAUACUGGCGUGCUUGAGGCUAGUAGGGGUCACUGGAACUGACGGUGGAGCGGUGAAAUGCGUAGAGAUCGGAAAGAACACCAACGGCGAAAGCACUCUGCUGGGCCGACACUGACACUGAGAGACGAAAAGCUAGGGGGAGCGAAUGGG